UUUCACUGCCCUAAAAAUCCUCUGUGUUUCACCUAUUCAUCCCUCCCUCCCCUCAAACCCCUGGCAACCACUGAUCAUUUUACUAUCUUCACAGUUUUGCAUUUCCCAGAAUGUUAUAUAGCUGGAAUCAUAUAUAUGUCGCUGUAUUAGUCAGGGUUCCCCAGAGAAAUAGAACUAAUAGGAUAUAUAGAUAUAUUAAGAGAAUUAUUAUGAGGGAUUGGUUCACUGAUUACAGAAUCUGAGAAAUCCCAUGAUCUGCCAUCUGCAAGCUGGAGCACAGGAAGGCCAGUGGCAUAGUUCCAAUGCAAAAUUUGAAAGCCUGAGAACCAGGGAAGCCAAUGGUUUAAGUCAUAGUCCAGUUCAAAAGCCCAAGAACCAGGAGCGACCAUGUGUGAGGGCAAGAGAAGAUGGAUGUCCCAGCUCAAGUAGAGACCAAAUUUGCCCUUCCUUCACCUUUUUUUUCUAUUCAGGACCUCAGUGGAUUGGAUAAUGCCCACCCACAUUGGUGAAGGUGAUCUUCUUUACUCAGUCUGCCAAUUCAAAUGCUAAAUCUCAUCUAGCAACACCCUCACAGACACACUCAGCUAUCUGGGCAUACCUUACUCCAAGGACAAGUCUCAACUAUCUCUGAUGUGCAGGCCACAAGAAGGACCCUGUGCCUGAAGAGUGAAUGGGAGGACAAGAGCCCCCAGAGACUCAUCAGAUAUGAGUGCUGUUCUUCUUAAUGUGAAUGAGCCAUUACCACAAAACUUCCAUUCCUACUGAUCCAGAAUUUUAACUGAUUUUCUUUUGUGCUUCAAUUGCUUUUUACAUUUCCAGUGCAUUAACCAUGGAAAAUGACAUUGUUCCUAUGGGAAUAUGUAUUCUGAUUUUCAGUAAUUGAUUAAAAUUGAUUAAACUUUUUAGAACCCA